ensembl:lncRNA
CUUGUGCUAAUUAGGGUUAUUGUCUUUUGAAAUUCACAGGCUGUGUGGUGUGUCUGCCGCUAAGAGGUCACUGCAGAGUUCCUACAUGGUUGGUUAAUGGAAGCCCUGUGAGACUGUUAUGCAGGCUGAGUGCAGGUGGUAACCUGAAGGAAUAUGUGUAAAGGAUAAUGCUGCUGAGCUGAACCUCGUGCCAGUAUUUGUGUGACUGUGUGAUACUGUGGGACUUCAGUCUCACUGCUGCAUUUCAGACCAGUCUUUCAGCCAUCACUUUAAAAGUGCCUCUGAAGAGUGGCAGUGGUAACUGGCA